rnacentral:rRNA from 1 species
AUUGAACGCUGGCGGCAUGCCUAACACAUGCAAGUCGAACGGAGGUAGGGGCAACUCUACUUCAGUGGCGGACGGGUGAGGAAUGCGUCGGAAUCUACCCUAUGGUGGGGGAUAACACAGGGAAACUUGUGCUAAUACCGCAUAAUGUCGAGAGACCAAAGCAGGGGACCGCAAGGCCUUGCGCGAUAGGAUGAGCCGACGCCCGAUUAGCUUGUUGGUAGGGUAAUGGCCUACCAAGGCGACGAUCGGUAGCUGGUCUGAGAGGAUGAUCAGCCACACUGGGACUGAGACACGGCCCAGACUCCUACGGGAGGCAGCAGUGGGGAAUAUUGGACAAUGGGCGCAAGCCUGAUCCAGCAAUGCCGCGUGUGUGAAGAAGGCCUGCGGGUUGUAAAGCACUUUGUUCGGGAGAAUCAUGCUGGUUAAUACCUGGUAUGGAUGACGGUACCGAAAGAAUAAAGC